UGAUUGUAUAAUGAUAUAUUUGGGAAAAGUAGCAGUAAAAUGACUUCAAUGAUGAUUUAUUCAAGUAAAGCAAAAAAGUCGGUGAACACAGGUUUUUUAAAUUGUUGCAGGCCUAACUAGAAAUUGAUGGACCUGUAUUUUGAUAAUGAUAUGGAGAGAACAGGAAGUUUCUUCCACCAAACUCCUGAAAGAAGAGAGUUGAUUUCUUACCUGAAAAAAGAUAGUCACUGUUAGAUUUGUGCAGGAAUCAUGGGGUUUUCAAGAUUGGUUUCUGCUUCCCUUUCAACAGUUCCAAUUUUUCUCAUGCUAAAAGUAACUUUUAAUUAGCUGGCAUGGAGAAAGUAAAUUAUUCUAAUCAACUUAUUAGUUUGAGAUUAAAGUUUAGCUAAGCUGUAUCCUUACUCCAAAUUUCCUUGUCUAAUAAAUUGUCCUAAUUAAUACUGGAAUUAUCAAUCAUUCGAUUAAGUGUAUUUGCUUCAUCGGAAACUUGUGCACGCUGAAUAAGCGCUCAAAUUUCAAUGGAAUUUUGGAGGCUUGAGGGAAAUUGAGUGCACCUAGAAAAGAGUCGGCCCUUCUCCUACUUCAACAGAGUCCAAGGUGCAGUCCAUUUUCUUGUAGUGGAAGUUGCAUAAGAUUGACCGACCCUCCCCAGUAAAUUAUUGCAACUCUGGAGCUAAAAUGUGUGCCUAAAGGUAUGCUAUUUCAUCACGGCACCCAUUAAAGUUUAAAAUAUUUUAAAUGGACAUUCCCUUGAAUAA